rnacentral:lncRNA from 1 species
CCAAGUUUUAAGGCUAGUCAAACCUCUUGCUUAUACGGCAAUUUAAACAAAUAUCGCUGACAAAACAACGUGGCAGAUAUGCAGUACAAAUAAACACAAAAACACUAAACACAGAGAAACGCGCACAUAAGUUAAUAAUAUAAUAGUACAAUACAUCCUGUAAAGCACAGAAUAACAACGGGCACCUUCCAUUCACGACAAGCACAGGACACCACAAACAGUGAUGUACAUAAAUACAGGUCUAACACUUAUGAACAUAAGUCAUUACCACGAUAUGAAGUAAUCAAUAACAUUGAGAAUGGAAAUGGGGAAUGUGUCAAAGAAAAAACAAUCAGAUCUAAAGGCAGACAACAGCCGAAGGCCACCAAUGGGUCGUCAAUGCAGCGAGAAACUCCAGCAACCCAGGGCGUCCUUCAGCUGCUCCUGUCAAAUAUGUAUACUUGUUCAGUGAUAAUGGACGUCAUACUAAACUCCGAAUUAAACACAAGACACUAAAAUUAAAAAUUAAACAAGACUAACAAAGGACAUCCAGAUAUAACGCAGCAUACCACUCUUUCUUGGGGGUAUUAUUUAUAACUGUCCGACAGUGAA